CUACUAAUGUUCUAUAACACAAGUGUAAUACACCACAGGUGUAGUACACUACUAAUGUUCUAUACCACAAGUGUAAUACACCACAGGUGUAGUACACUACUAAUGUUCUAUACCACAAGUGUAAUACACCACAGGUGUAGUACACUACUAAUGUUCUAUACCAC